UACGUAGGGUGCGAGCGUUGUCCGGAAUUAUUGGGCGUAAAGAGCUCGUAGGCGGCUUGUCGCGUCGGAUGUGAAAGCCCGGGGCUUUAACUCCGGGUCUGCAUUCGAUACGGGCAGGCUAGAGUUCGGUAGGGGAGAUCGGAAUUCCUGGUGUAGCGGUGAAAUGCGCAGAUAUCAGGAGGAACACCGGUGGCGAAGGCGGAUCUCUGGGCCGAUACUGACGCUGAGGAGCGAAAGCGUGGGGAGCGAACAGG
rnacentral:rRNA from 1 species